UACCCUUAGGACGUUGACAACCCCGAGAAAUUGGGGCUAAUAAACGAUAGAUAUGAUGUCCUGGAAUGGUAUCAUGUCUAAAGGUAUCCCAUACAUGUUUGGUAUACGCCUAAGGAUGGGGCUGCGGCCGAUCAGGCAGUUGGUGAGGUAAUGGCUCACCAAACCUUUGACCGGUACGGGCCAUGAGAGUGGUAGCCCGGAGAUGGACACUGAGACAAGGGUCCAGGCCCUACGGGGCGCAGCAGGCGCGAAACCUCCUCAAUGCACUAACGUGCGAAGGGGUUACCUCGAGUGCUACCUGAAGAAGGUGGCUUUUCCUUGGUCUAAAAAGCCUCGGGAAUAAGAGGGGGGCAAGACUGGUGUCAGCCGCCGCGGUAACACCAGCCCCUCUAGUGGUGGGGAUGAUUAUUUGGCCUAAAG
rnacentral:rRNA from 1 species